rnacentral:lncRNA from 1 species
CUUGGGAAAUGGAUAGCGUCGGCUAGAAGUGUAGUUAAGGAAAAAGAGGUUGUGUCCAGAGUCGUGUUCUACUCCUCUCCGCCACACCGUCUCCAAUUCUCGUGAAUGAUAGAAAAGAGUUUCAGUUUUCAAUGGUUUCCAGUUUGAUAUUUCGCCUACAGGCUGGCGUUUUUGUUUAUCUUCUUAAAAGCAGUAUUCGUAUUCCUCCUGCUUCAUUUUCAGGAUGAUCUAAUUAAAGCAGCAGAUCGGCAAAUGGAACGUACAUCCGAGCUUACACUUUUAAAGGAUGACGCUGCUCACAAACAAAACAAAGUUGAGUUCCUUGGAAACGUUUAUAAGAAAAGAUUCAAGAUGGGUGCUAGACUGACCAACAUCUCGAGCUCAAGACCGCUCUUUGCAAGCCUUUAGCUGCAUUCUCCUACAUACUUCUACCGAAAGCCUUAGCCAGCAGGAAGGAUGUUCUAAAUUUACAGAAUGGAGAUCACAAAAGUCUUACGGGGAGCGUCUUGGCGACCCUUCACCCUGUCGGGGGGUCAUGAACAUGCACGCAGAAUUUGCUAUUACAAGCUCUUUGAAGGAGAAAUCAACGUGGAUGGUCUGUCUUUCUCCAUCCCCAUUCACCAGCUCGAUAAGUUCAAAAGCAUGAAGAACUUAUAGAUCAAUGUUCGGCUGGAGAAACAAUGAGAUUUGACCUUUUCAGAUCACAAAGAGUCGAAACUGUAAUGUAUCAUUACUUUACAUUUUUGCAACCACUUGUUAACCACUGUAAUGAUUAAUCCGUAAACUCCCCCCCUUUGGUGACUUAUAUCAACGAAUAGUCUGCCUUUAUUUACAUAUGAAGAAUUUUUCAUAUUGUGAAAAGAACCGCAGCUUGUGGGCGCCUCGUUUGAACUUUAAAAUGCCAAAUAUUCUUUUCUCUCAUUUGUGUUCAAACUUUCAAACUGUUCACAGCACCAAUUAGAAAAACUGAAACUCAUUUACCUAUCAGUUACCACCAAUCGUUGAUAUAGCAGAUAAAUUAAGAAAAAGAAAAAACGCCUGAAAAAAGAAGAAUUUCGUGCGGAAGACACAUUAGAGAAAGAUGUCGAGAAUGUGGUUAUUUUAAAAUGCAAGUUCGAAGCAAGAGACGUAUAUAAUCAUGUGAACGAGCAUAAUUCGACUCGAGGUGAGCUCAUUUAUCAUGCUCAAGUCAUUCUAAGGACUCAUGUUGUAACUCUUAUCAAUCAUUUUUAAGAAAGAAGAAAAAGAACCGUUACUGAGCAAAACUGUUUACUCUGUUUUUUUAAAAUUAUUUAGGGUAUUUCAUGCUGUGUUAAAAGAAUUAAGUUUACCUACUAUGCAUGAUGUUUAUAACAAAUUAAAUGUCAUAUA